rnacentral:rRNA from 1 species
GACGAACGCUGGCGGCGUGCUUAACACAUGCAAGUCGAACGGAAAGGCCCUGCUUUUGUGGGGUGCUCGAGUGGCGAACGGGUGAGUAACACGUGAGUAACCUGCCCUUGACUUUGGGAUAACUUCAGGAAACUGGGGCUAAUACCGGAUAGGAGCUCCUGCUGCAUGGUGGGGGUUGGAAAGUUUCGGCGGUUGGGGAUGGACUCGCGGCUUAUCAGCUUGUUGGUGGGAUAGUGGCUUACCAAGGCUUUGACGGGUAGCCGGCCUGAGAGGGUGACCGGCCACAUUGGGACUGAGAUACGGCCCAGACUCCUACGGGAGGCAGCAGUGGGGAAUAUUGCACAAUGGGCGGAAGCCUGAUGCAGCAACGCCGCGUGCGGGAUGACGGCCUUCGGGUUGUAAACCGCUUUCGCCUGUGACGAAGCGUGAGUGACGGUAAUGGGUAAAGAAGCACCGGCUAACUACGUGCCAGCAGCCGCGGUGAUACGUAGGGUGCGAGCGUUGUCCGGAUUUAUUGGGCGUAAAGGGCUCGUAGGUGGUUGAUCGCGUCGGAAGUGUAAUCUUGGGGCUUAACCCUGAGCGUGCUUUCGAUACGGGUUGACUUGAGGAAGGUAGGGGAGAAUGGAAUUCCUGGUGGAGCGGUGGAAUGCGCAGAUAUCAGGAGGAACACCAGUGGCGAAGGCGGUUCUCUGGGCCUUUCCUGACGUUGAGGAGCGAAAGCGUGGGGAGCGAACAGGCUUAGAUACCCUGGUAGUCCACGCUGUAAACGGUGGGUACUAGGUGUGGGGUCCAUUCCACGGGUCCCGUGCCGUAGCUAACGCUUUAAGUACCCCGCCUGGGGAGUACGGCCGCAAGGCUAAAACUCAAAGGAAUUGACGGGGCCCCGCACAAGCGGCGGAGCAUGCGGAUUAAUUCGAUGCAACGCGUAGAACCUUACCUGGGUUUGACAUGGAUCGGGAGUGCUCAGAGAUGGGUGUGCCUCUUUUGGGGUCGGUUCACAGGUGGUGCAUGGCUGUCGUCAGCUCGUGUCGUGAGAUGUUGGGUUAAGUCCCGCAACGAGCGCAACCCUUGUUCACUGUUGCCAGCACGUUAUGGUGGGGACUCAGUGGAGACCGCCGGGGUCAACUCGGAGGAAGGUGGGGAUGACGUCAAGUCAUCAUGCCCCUUAUGUCCAGGGCUUCACGCAUGCUACAAUGGCUGGUACAGAGAGUGGCGAGCCUGUGAGGGUGAGCGAAUCUCGGAAAGCCGGUCUCAGUUCGGAUUGGGGUCUGCAACUCGACCUCAUGAAGUCGGAGUCGCUAGUAAUCGCAGAUCAGCAACGCUGCGGUGAAUACGUUCCCGGG